ensembl:lincRNA
CUUUCUCUGCUCAGAGACACCCUGUGUUUAGCUUUCAUUUCGAUGGCUGCUGGGUGGUCCCUUUAGGCAGUGUGUCACCAGGAAAGAAGCAGGACAGAGGCCACUGAGAGCCUUCGCCUUCCCAUCCUGGAAGCCCUCCCGGGGGUCUCAGCCUGCACGUCUCUGCUGAGCUGUUUUAUUUUGCCAUCUCAAGCUACAAGGAAGGAGGGGGCCCAAACAUUUCAGCGGAGCAGGUUGCUACACUAGGUGACUCUGGCGUCCACGAGAAUACAGAUGCGGGGGCUGGACGGGGGUCGCGUGGUCAGCAGCUUCCCUUUCCACGAUUUCUCACUGGAGACCCCAAGCUUGGGUCACUCCCAUAUCACUCCAUGAUGACCGUCACCUGGGUAACCACCGUUUAUCUUGUUCCCUCCGUUUUAGAUCCGCGCCCUGGCGGCCUCUCCAGGAGCACGUUGAGGAUGGGCGUGUGGAGCCAGCCACUGACGGAGGAGAUGUCCAGGCGCGGCUGAUCUCACCCACAUCGAAUUUGGAAACCGGAGCCUCGCCUUGGACUCCUUUCUCCAUGACUCAUAACUUUUGUUCAACCUGGAAGGAAUGCCAGCUUGGGAAGAUGGCAGAGCUUUGCUUCAGGGGGAAGGUGGGUCUAAGUCACAGACGUGAGAUUGAGCUGGACCUUCAGAGUGUACUGGGUACACAUCCAUAAUGGUGGCCACAGGCGGGUCUUCAGCCCUGGGGAGCUGGAGUCUUGGGAAACGCAGGUAUCCUUACUAGAAGUGGGAGAGAGGGGCAGGUAGCAUGGGGUCUGUCUAAGGAUGGAGACUUCCUCAGGAAGCCUUGUGAAGGUAAAAGAAGGUAAAAUCACUCCCCAGGUAACCACCCUUAUACCCUCUGCUUCCAGGAAUUCAUGGAUGUGAGAUCACGUGGUACCUGUCUUUCAGUGCCUGAAUUAUUUCACUAGGGUUAUGUCCUUCAGGCUCAUUCGCAGGGUUGCAAGUGAGAGGAUUUCUGUCCUUUUUAUGGCGGAAUAAUAUUCCACUGGGCAUAUUUACUGCGUUCAUCUGCUGUCGGACACCCGGGCCAAUUCUGCAUCUUGGCUGUUGUGUUUCAGUGAACGCGGGAGUGCAGAUGUCUCCAUGACGUACCGUUGGACGUGUACCCAGGAGUGUCAUUGCUGAAUCAUAUGCCAGUUCUGUUUCUUUUUUUUUUUUUUUAUUCAGUAAAUUGUUAAAGUUUAAUUUACUCUUGAAACAAACAACAUUCUUUUAAGAAGCUGUUUUCUUGCUUUUGCACAAGGUCAAUUUAAAGUCAAUCCAGGCAAACAAGAUCAGAAAAAGCAGCAUACUCCUCUAAUCCAUUUAGCAAAUGUUGCAAAUUAGUUUCUACUUGAAUAAUCAAACAGAGAAAUGUCUGAAACUCUACAGUUGGUGUCAGUUUUAACAUGUUGAUGUCAGCCAUGACAGGUAGAAGUAGCCAAGUCCCAUAUACAUGAAGAAGCAGAAAUAAUUGUGAAGACUUAGCAGCUCUUCUAAAGAUUAAAGACAAAUUAUGUUUAUGAGCCAUUUUGCUGUGUGGCAUUCUUCUGAGUUUUAUGUCUCAAACACAAAGGAGCUUGUUGCUGUCUUGGGCAAACAUACUGAAAUUACCUUUCUUUCUUUCUUUUUUAGCUUACUUUCUUGUCUCUAAGGCCAAGUAAAAAAUGUGAAACAUUUUCAUAUACCACAAAGGUAAUACAGCAGGCUGGAGUCACUCUAAUCAAAUUGGGGGCAAUUCCUUUGUAAAAUCCACCGAUGCCUUCUUUCCU